rnacentral:tRNA from 1 species
CGGAAGAUAGCUCAGUUUGGUAGAGCAGUUGACUCAUAAUCAAUCGGUCGCGGGUUCGACUCCCGCUCUUUAU